AGGAAGUUCUCUAUCAGCUUCAAACUGUCCUCUUCCACUAGUCCUCCACACACCACUGAAGAAGAGCUCAG